rfam:TPA: Bos taurus chromosome 19, whole genome shotgun sequence.
CCUGGUGGCUCAGAGGUUAAAGCGUCUGCCUGCAAUGCGGGAGACCUGGGUUCGAUCCCUGGGUCAGGA